rnacentral:rRNA from 1 species
CCUACGGGAGGCAGCAGUGAGGAAUAUUGGUCAAUGGGCGCAAGCCUGAACCAGCCACGUCGCGUGAGGGAAGAAGGUCCUAUGGAUUGUAAACCUCUUUUGUCGGGGAGCAAAAGACGCCACGCGUGGCGUUCCGAGAGUACCCGAAUAAAACGCAUCGGCUAACUCCGUGCCAGCAGCCGCCGUAAUACGGAGGAUGCGAGCGUUAUCCGGAUUUAUUGGGUUUAAAGGAUGCGCAGGCGGAAGAUAAAGUCAGCGGUAAAAUUGGGAGGCUCACCCUCCUCGCGCCGUUGACACUGGUUGUCUUGAGUGAGUGAGAGGUAAGCGGAAUUCCUAGUGUAGCGGUGAAAUGCGUAGAUAUUAGGAGGAACACCAGUGGCGAAGGCGGCUUACUGGACUGUAACUGACGUUGAGGCUCGAAAGCGUGGGGAGCAAACAGGAUUAGAUACCCCUGUAGUC